CAAACAAAAGAGCUCAGCGGUGAGAGCCCUGAUGCCUCCCAUUCAGAUAGAUGUCAGCCCGUGAACCCACCCAUAACAAUCACGUUUUGAUUUAAGAGGGACCAAUUGUUUUGUGGCUUUAGUAGGCUAUGUUUACCUACUGUUGAAGCAUUCUGCUUCUCUCCUUUUUACUGGUGUGGGAUUGGAGAUAUUAUCAGUGCCAAAUUUCUCAAAUAAAAGAUGCCAGGCCUGAAGGGUGACUAGAAGCAGCCCCCCUGUGGUCUGGAAGCCAUGCUCAUAGUUUCCACUGUUAAUGGUAAGGGAAUGCACUCUGCACAUGCCCAACAGCACUGCACCUAUCCCUGGCACUGAAUUAAGCCUGGGAUCCAGCCAUGCAGCUUCUCCCCCAAACUAAUCUCCCUUCAUGGCCAGAGCUUUGUUUUAUUGUCCUAAACACUCUCAUUUGAUUUUGCCCUCUUCAGAAGGAAGUGCCGUUUUCAGCCGUGUGUUUUCAUUGUCAGCUAAUGACUCCCCCCACCCAAUUAAAUAGUAGCCUUUCCUCUUAAGUACUCUAUUUUGUCCAUCUGUUUGGGGUUAUAAUACCAUAAUACACAGCUUCACAGCUGAUAGGAUAGUGGUACCCCAGUACAUAACCAUCAAGCCACAUGCAUCAAUGGCAGAAGAGGGGGUGGAUUUCUGGAGAGUUGCCAGCCAAUGACCUUUCUCAUCUUCCCCUUGUCUGAGGAAGCUCCCCUUUCCAACUUUGUAAGGUCAGGAAAUUGUUGUUUUCUUCUUUCUGCAGCAUGAGGCGAUAUUAACAAUGCAUGCAUUGCCAAAACAUAAACUGUUAAGCUCUUUGCCAGUGUUAUAUCCUUUCUUAAAACCACUCCUUUUCAAGAGUGGAAAAAUACCCGAAUAUACCACUUUUUCAAGAGAAGGGAGAUUUUAUUGCUUUCAUCGACGUGAUUUAUUUUUGUGCAUUUCACGUUAUUAAAGGGGGACAUCUAUAUAUAUAUAUUACCGUAAAAAUACUGAGAGGGUCUGGGGUAUGUUUGUGUGUACCCACACCCCAAACCCUCUCUGUAUUAUCUGCCAAGACAAUCAGCUGCAAUUAUAACACAUUAAUGAAUAAUAUGCCUUGAGAGUAUGUUUUUUGUUUUGUUUUGUUAUUGUUCAUCGCAUGAUGUUAGACGGCUUUUACAGGCAAAGGAAAGAGAAAGUAAACGGGUUACAAAUAGGGAAUUAUCCCUCGUUUAGCAUUAAAAUUCAUUUAGAUAAAAUUGCCACAAACAUUUAAAUGGAGAGAUUAGUUCCCCCUCACGCCUUAUUGCACACUCUCAAUGGCUCCGUUAAGAACAUUUUACACGUUGGAAAUUCCGCCUUCUCAGCCUGCUCGCUGUUUCCUAGCUACCCACAUUCAAAGCAAAGGCAGCAGCAACAGAAAGAGAAGAAGGGAGGGAGAGAGUGUGUGUUGGGGGGCGGGAGGGGGAAAGUUUUUUUUAUUAUUUGGCAACCAGAUUGCAAUUCAUGCACUUGGAUCUGCUUUAAGUAAAGGAGAAAAUAAAGAAACAGGCGCUUUCCCUCCCUCUUAGAGCACCCAGUAACCCUCUAUGGAGAGACAAGGCGCUGCUGCCAUAGCCGUUGAUCCACUUUUAGUCUCUCCCCCCCCCUUUCAAAAACGAAGCUGGGAAUUAAGUUUUCCGAGAGCCGUCUAGCACAAAGAAAGCGAGAUUAAUUUAUGUCUGUAUCGGAAAAUGCGCGUGUGUUUUGUGGGAGUGGAGCGAUGCGCGCGGUGGGGUUGUGUGUGUGUGUGCGCGCAGCGAACAAAGAUGUCCUGGUUUCUGGCGCGUCUGCUGCUCUGUUCCGCAGAUUCCCAGCGCGCGCGCGGAGCGGUGCGAAAAGGGAAGCUCUCCAAGCGCGCGCGCUUAAACGUCUCCCGUUUUGCAGCGCUGUGAGCGGAGUGCGGUUGUCUGUAUUUAAAAAUCUCUGGAGGGAUUAGUUUGAAAACAGAUCAGUUGUCCUCCUCCUCCUCCUCCUUCCUCUCCCCCCCCCCCCGUUCCUCCUCCUUUCUCUCUCUCGCUCUUUCCCCCUCUCGCUGCCACCCGCUGCAGAGCCCAAGGAGAAGGAAUGUCAGCUUCGACUGCCAUCUUUUGGGGAUAUGGAAAAACGACCCGAUAGGUAGGAGCCCGCCCUCUUCCUCCUCCUCCUCCUCCUCCUCCUCGCUUUCCUUCCCUCCCGUCCUCGUGCUGCUUCUUCCCCAGCCCCCCGAGUCCAAAUCUGGGCUCCCACUUGUGCUUGCUAGGGAAAAUACUUUGGAGCGCAGAAGGGAACUAGCUCUGCGCCUUGGCCAUUCUGCAUGGAAGCAUUUGCAGAGAGAGGGGCUGGGCUGGAGGGGGAGACCCCGGAUCCCGCCGCCUUUUUCUCCCCCAAGUUCCGCGCAAAAGUUUUCCGGCGUCCCUGCCGGUCUUGCUUUUUUGUCAGCUCUUUCUCCCCCCCCCCUCCCCGCCCCUGCAAAGAUUGUCCGACGCUGCCGCAUGCGCGCUGGGGCUUCCUCUUUGCCUGUUUUGUGCGCGGCGAGGGUACCGUAUUGCACCGAGUCGAGUGUCACUUGAGAAAUUGCGAGAAAUCCCGCUUGAUCGGCGGGGUGUGCGGGCAGCUGGUAGUGGAGAACUUUUACCGUCGUGUUUGGACAUGAUCCCUCCUCCCCCGCCUUUAAACCCCCAACCAAGGUUCUCCGUAGAGUUAUUGCGCGGAUAAUACAAUUGUUCCAAGAUUAGGGUCGCUGCGAUUAAAACAAUACUUUAGUUUUAUUUUUGUUUUGAUUUAAUACACCUUGUCCUUCUUUUUAUCAGUGCCGCCGCCGGAUCCACCCCAAGUCUGCUGCUGCCCUUGUCACUUUUCCUGGGCAGGGGGUGCGUGUGUGUUUGGAGAAGCUGAAUCAUGGAGAUCUUGUUGUCUGCAUUUGAACUCCCGGCUUCUCCCAGGAGCCUGCAGAGCGGAGUCCGGUGGGGUGGGCGAGGGUGGGGCGCAAGGCCCCCUCUAGAGGCAGCACCCCCGAACGGGGCGGGAGGGACCACUAGCCCAGCCGGGCAAAGGGCUUCGCCUCUUUCUGCAUUUGUCAGCCGCAGAAUCGGAAGCGUCUCCGUCCUCCUCCCAAGUUAACAGAUGGCCCCUCCGGUCCCCCUUUGGCCGUUGUGAACAGAGAGAUCUCCUUUUCUCCCCAGCGCGACCCCGCUCCUCCCCUGCCUUUUCCCUGACCAUGAAGUGGCGUUGGAUAGUAUAGGGCAGGUUUAUUCCAAAAGGCAAAAAAACAGAAAGGCAAAGCAGUUGGAUCGAUACGACACGGAUUUGGGAGAGGGGAUUUUUGUUGCUGUUGCUAUUCGUUUCCUGGGGCGGGGGAGAGGAUGCUGGUGUUUGUGUGUUGCUGGACGGAGGUCUACCCCCCUUUUCUCCGCCCGCCUCCUUUUUAAAGUCCUGCAAAACUUUUCCUCGCCCAGCUUUGUUUGCAGACAAGCUCGACCCGCGAAGGGAAAAGCGAGAAAAGGGCGAUUUGCUCCGCUUCUUUCUGGUCGUGGGGGCGGGGGUGGGAUUUCGUCCCGGAACACGUGUCAGCUGGCAAAAGAAGCACCACGUGUGAGUCUGCCCCCGCCGCCUAAAAUCCGGCAUCACAAGCCGGGAUUAGCUGUUAUCCCCUCACCCACUCAACUUUCCAGCCUCCUCGGAAGAUAACCGCUUUGUUUCUUUUCUUGUUCAAGCCAGCCUGCUCUCGAUUGUCUCCUUCGGCCUCUCAUGCCCACUUCUCAGUGCGGCCCUGGCGGCCAGGUCCUGCCAGCCUCUCUCUCCUCCGACCAAAGCCCUUUUCUGAGGGUUCAUUUGCACUGAAGGAAAGGGUGGGACCAGCAUCAUCCAGCCCAGAAGAGGGAACCUGGGGACAUUUCUGUGCUUGGAGUGGGAGUCUCCCCCGCCCCCCACUUCUCCUCUCUCUUUCUCCAGUGUCAAAAAUCACAGUCGGAUCCUUCAAAGUAUGUGCGAGAGUGUAAAGAAGAGAGCCAUCUCCUUACCUUCUCAUACCCUCCUUCCUGCAAGGCGUGCAGCCUGUGUGUGUGUGUGUGUGUGUAACCAACAAAGGUUAUUCUUCCUCAAGCUCUAAACCUCCCUCACGUGAGAUAAUAUCAGUUCCAUAUAUCCUCUCCUACUUUAUCGAAAUCCAUCCAACGUGUGUGUGUUUUGGAAGGAAUCCCCGUGUAAGGGGGUGCGUGUGGAGCCUUUCCAGCCGAGCGAAACGCACCCGAAAGUCCGAGAAGUCCCUAAAGGGACCCGGAAUAGCAAACUCAGCCAGUGGCUUCUCCUCGCCGCUGCCGGUCACAAACCUCCCAAGGCGAGCGACUUGCCUUUGGCCGGCUGCUGUCUCCAAGGUGCUUCGCAAACGGUGGCGGACGCUUGAGUUAAAAGUGGCACCUUAAAAAGUCGUGGGUGUUGUGUGUUUGGGAAGAUGUGUGGAGGUUUCCCCCCUGUUUUUAAAAAAAAUUUAAAAAGGUAAACUAUGCCUUAAAAGUGAAUCUGUCGCUCCUCCUGUGUGCAAAGACUGGCGCGGGAGGGGUCUUUCCAAGCAAGGCUUGCUCCACAACUUGUGAAUUAAUUUUGGAAUUGUGCCCAAGUGUGGCUAGCAGUGAAAAGCAAUUUUAGGCUGACAAAGACACCAUCUUCCACGCACGUACAUGAGCGUUCAGACUCAUAGACCCUUAAGGGGCAGGUUUUCAAGGGAACCUUUCCAGUUAGAAUGCGCUGCUGAAUGAUUCUGCUGAAGAAGGCUGCAACUCACCCAGGACUAAGCGCCACUGAGCGCAAAAGGAUUUACUCCCGAGUCGACCUAUCGCAUCGCACUGCCAAUCGGUUUUCAUGCGAAGCGCGCCCACCACAACUAGUCAACAAUAUAAGCAGUUAUUCCAGAGAGUUUAGGUAGAUGUUUAGGCGGGCAUCAAGACCGAGAAAUUUAGAAAGUUUUUCGCAGGCUGUUGUUCCUCUGGGUUGCCUUACGCGUUGAUCCUAAACCCAUGACUUGUAAGAAUGUCCACCCGGGGAUCCUAGCGAAAAUCUCCAAGUGUGUUUGAUAUCCCCCGCCCCAAGGAAUAGGUUUGUGGAUGUGAAGAGUGUGCACUUGAUCUUGUAUUCUAAAGCUACCAUUCCGUUAGUCUUUGUGUGUCUAUCCUCUUUGUGUGACUUUGCUGUGUUUACUGGAGGUGUAAAAAGGACUCCCCGGCUCAAGGUUUGGAAUCGCAAAAGGGCCGCCCUUACUAGACCGUUAGAAGACGCAAAGUACACUAAGAUCUUCUGUAAAAAGUGUGUGUGUGUGUCUGUCUUAUAAGGGGCGGAGAUUGACCCCCCCACUUUGCCGAAUCGGGCCAUUUGUCCUAGAAUCGUGAUAACGCAAGAUCUGCUUUUGUUCAGGUUCUCGCUAGAAGGUAGUUAAUAAACUCCUAAGCAGUCUCAGCAGCUUUGUAUUUUAUGUAGUGGACAGAGGAAAUCUUCCAGGGCUUUAAUGUGUGAAAUAACUAAAUGCCUGUGUGGCAGCUGUUUCUAAAGCCAAAACUAACUCUUUGGAUCCAUUGGGGGUGGGAGCGGGAGAAGGAGAGUGAAAGGCAAAAGAAAGGACUGCUCUUUUUUUGUUUUCUUUUUUCCUUUGGUGCCAUUUUGGAUGUCAUCUGUUUCCUCGGUAACUGCGUUCAGGCCCCCAAAGCCCCUGGGCUCCCGGACUGUUAGGGGAAAAAAAAAGCCUGCUAUUUCUGCAGCGUCAUUUAUCACUGUCACCGCAUAAUGAUUCCCCUUGCAGCUUCUUAUUGAUGUUUGUAAUUGCAUUAUCUCAUAAAGGGGAGGGGUGAGAUGGGGGGGAGUGAGAUGAUCAAUGAAACCGAGCUGUGCAUUGUGGGGUCAGGAGAUACGCGCGCGCGCGCACAAGACACACAGAGAGAGAACUUUAGCGCUGCACAGGGGCGGCGAUCUGGCGCGCGCGCUACCUGAUUCUGCAGGGACCUCACCGCCACGAUUUCCUUCUCCUUUCUUGUUAAGAGGUUUGCGUAACCUUUUGGUGAAAUGCAAAAUCAAGGACUUGCCUUGCUGCGUUUCAACCGGACAAGGAGCAAGUCCUUGAUGGGGAAAGAAGGGCGGGAGGCUCGUGAUGCGCGCUGCCCAAAGUGGGCGCAGGAAAGUUGAGAAUAAGUACCCGCGAUUCCUCCCCGCAACUAGCCUCUCCUUUGAUGAAUGGAGCUCUACAGGGAAAUUGACAAAGGCUAUAUCUGGAAGCACUUAGCAGCCCGCAGCACUUUAAAGCCUCCCUUUAAAGCCCCGCUUUCCUCCCACCCGCACCCUCCGUGUCCUUAAUGCGCGCUGCAGAUUUAGCGUGAUCGCCUCCAGAUUCUCCCUUAGGAUCGCGUCGCCUUAGGUAGCUGGCAGCCAACGGGUUGGUUACCUGACCAGUCAAGAAAAUGAAAUUAGUCCACACCUUGUCCCUGACUCGGGAACAGGGUGGCACCGUGGCGUGGAGCUGACACGAGCCACGGGGCAAAUCGAGGCAGCGUGUUGCACAGGAGAGGAGGGGAGAAGAGGCAAAGGGCGGCGUGUGUCUCUCUCUCUCUGUGUCUUGUACUCUGAUUCGAGUAAGUUCGCCUAUUAGGUGGUAUGUCCCACUGAUUUCAAUUGAAGCUAAAAAUAAAAAAAGGAAAAACAAAAACCCCAUGCUCAGGAUUGCAGCAGCCCCGCGUAAAGUGUGUAAAAUGGUGAUUGUGCGAUUCUCCGACCCUCCUGCUGUAUUGUCACCAAAAUAUAUAAAUACUGCGAAGAUUAUUUGUUUAGCCACGGACUAGGGGAAAAAUGUGGCAUAUUAAUCCUCUGGAUAAAAUAACCGCUUGGAUAUUUCAUCCAGAGGAUUAUGCCUUGUUCAAGGCAGCAAUUUUCGAAAUUCGUCAUGUUCCCUUUAAUAUAUUUCUAUAUAUACAUAAUUUGGAUAAGUGGGAAUUGCUAACCAGACAUCUCUCACCCCAUCUUUCAAGGCGAAAAUAAGAAGAAGGUGAUGCUGCUGGAAAUGCCAAAUUUAGGCAAAGGAUUUCCACUUUGCUCCUCCCUUGUUUACUCCACUUAAAAAAAUAAAUCUCCAAGUCCCGUCCCUGCAGGAGAUGACCCAACAGCGCGAAGCAGGACUUUUAAAAUAAACGCAAUACGGAAUAGAACCCACAAUGUUAGACGGGUUUCGGUACUCAUCCUCGAGUACUGCAUAACAAUCGCUGCACACCUAUUUUCUGAGCAGCAAAUCCAGUUAACUUUUGCGGGAUUUAGGUCCCGAGUAAAUGUUGUGAAAUCUGAGCGCAAUUUCAUGGCAGUGAAUUCUGCGAAAAGGACUGCUUGUGACUGUAUUUAAGAUCGGGGUGUGAGGCAUGAAAAAGCCCCUCUCUAGAAUCCAACUCAGAGGGUAUUUACAGUCUCCUGGGGGUGUAUUUAGACUGUCUGUUCCCAUUGAAAGUCAAUUGAACUGCCACCACCCGAACUUAAACGCCCUUUAAAUGAAAAAGCAGGAGCGCUCGAUUGAUGGGGCCAGACUUCAGGUAAAUGUAUCCGGAAUCUGCAUGUAAGACGACAGCACCACGAAAACACGCGGCGCGUGUGGGGUGGGGGCUAAAGCCACCGAUCUGAGACCUUUCUGCACUGCGAAAUUGCCAGCAGAAAACAUUUCCUAGUUAAUAUUGUUGCUGUUUCAUUUUGGAGAAGGGAGGUCCGAAAAAGUUCUGGAGGAGAAAUUACUUGCUGGCAGGUUUCCCUCCUGCUUAGAUAGAUCACAGCUUUACAGUUGAGCGUUUCUCAUCUGUUUUAAAAUGGCAAUAUCGGCUAAUAAAACAAUCUGGAUGUUAAAGUCAUUAUUGUGAGGAUCUCCUUCCUCUUGCAUCUUUUAAAAUAUAUUUCUUGUUCCGCCCCUCUCUCCACCCACUUUUGACCAGUGCUACAACGAUGUAGGCAAAUAAAUAUCUUGAAUUUUGAAACGACAAUUUUUAUUUGGAUCAGGAUUUUAGGUUGGGAAUGUUGAAUACCAUCUUAGAAGAUUUAUUCUCUCUUCUUCCCCAUUAAUGAAACAAACAAAACCUUUGAACGGUUUUUAAAGGAAAGAGAUUGAGUACUGGAGUUCAUGGUUAAAAAUCCUGAUUAUUUUUUUUAAAGUCUCGGUUCAGAAAUUAUUUAUUUAUAGAACGAACAUAAUUAAAGUUAAAAUAAAUAAAUAAAGUGCAGCUGCAACACCAACAAAAAAGCCCUCCCUGAUUUACGAUUAUUAAAUCUUUGAUUGCCAUGUUAAUGUUUCUUAUUCUACCUUUCAUUUGCAUUUUAAUCUAUCGAAUCUUUACAAUAUCCCUGCCUCCAGUGAUUGAUUACAGAUCUGAAAGGGGUGGGGGAGAGACCAGCGCCGGCCUCCGAGCUCUCUGUGCCUUUUUCUAUCCCCCCAUCUUUUUUUUUUUUGCUGUCUAGGAAGCCUUCCCCAACAAUGUUAAGGCAAACAGGACAAAUUAAUUAUGCUCUUUUAAAUGUCAAAGGUAUAAAUAAUUCCCCGCCGCCGCCUCCCAAACGCUAAAUUUUUCCGCCCCUCGUUCUGAUUGUUAGGCUCCUGUUAGUUUGGAAUGUGUAGUAGUGUGUGUGUGUGUGUGUGUGUGUGUGUGUGUGUGUGUGUUUGUAUGUUUGUUUGUGUGGUCUCUUCAUCCUUAUAAAAUACAAUUAAAGGCCCUUGUAAAAGAGGGUUAAAAGAAACCGAGGCGAUUGUCACUAAAUGGUACUCUUUCGCGUGUUUUGUUUUGGUUCUGUUUUUCAAGGUGAGAAGUUCAGGAGCGGGCCGGCCGCGGCGUUUUUCUGCCUUGUUUUGGCUGCAAACCUCCCCAAGCCCGAGCCAAACUGGGAGGGUGGGAGUGGGGGGAGUCGCUGACAGACCAGCAAACGAAGACAAAAGACAGGAGACCCCCCCUCCCCCCUCCUGGUGUUUACUGACUUUCUCGGGUCUUCCUUUUUGCGCGGCCCGGAGGCUCCCCAGAACCUGCAGUCGCUGCGGCUGCGGCUCCCCAAUCCUCGCGGCGCCUUUUGCCCUUGGAAGCAAAGUUGGGGAGCUGGGCGACCCCCCACCGACCCCGCUCGCUCCCUCCUACGGAAAGCGAACUGAAACCUUCUGUAGGCAACUGCCAACCCUUCAUCCCUUAAGCUGUUCAACGAAGUGUUAAUAGAAGGGAGAAAGAAGGGUUUUAAAAUAUAUAAAUAUACGGUAUAUAUUUGUAUUGGGGGCGGGACGAGCAGGGGCAAAACCCGCAAGGGGCAAGAUCGGGGGUGGAAGGAGUUCGCUGAAGCAGAGCUGGCAGAUUUCUUUUAGGGAAGGAAGUGGGGGUACGGCGGGGGGGGGAGGUGGGGAGACUCGCCCUGCUGCUCCCCGGCUCCCCGCGCCGUCUUAUCUGCCACCCUGACAGGCGAACGUUGCUGCCCGUUCCCACGACUCGUGUCUUCGGGUCAGCAGAGAGGCGGGCAGCACGCGCUAAGCGUACCGCUCGUCGGGGAAAAAUCUCAGGCAAGCAAGCGGGAUGGAAGGGCUCUUGAAGCAGGGGGUGGGAGGCGGUAUAUUGCUGCGAAAGGCGGCCGUGGCUCGCUCAUGCAAUGGAGCUGUCCUUAGGGGGUUAGGAUUGCGCGCGCGCCAGGGGGAGCCAACCUGGCGCCCUCCAGGUGCUGCUGAACUACACCUCUCUGCUUAUUGGCUAAGAUGGUGGGGGCUGGUGGGUGUUGGGGAGGGGGCGUCCGGGGUGCCCGUACGUGGUGCGCGCGCUGGUUUCAAGAACUGCGCCGCACCCGAUGUGCUUGGCACGUCCAUCGGCCCAGUCCCGACGGCUCCCUUCCAAGUCGGGAUAAAACGGCGUGGUUAGAACCAGCCGGCCUGCAGCCACUGAAUCCCCCAAAGGCGAUUUCGAUACGAGCCAGUGUCCUCCUGCAGGUUGUCAGUGGCGUUGAUGAACUGAAAGUCGGAGUACUAAGGCGGCUGCCUCGCCGCAGCAAACCGCGGAGACAGAGCAGCGGGCGGACAAGAAUGGGAAAGCUCGGUGGCAUGAAAAUGGGGGCCAGGGAUACAGAUCCGAGGCACGAGCGGAGAGAGGAGGGCGGGGGACAGUAUUAAAAGGAGCCAUCGAAGGUGAAGACGAACCGGGAGGCCGGGCAGGGGAAAGUAGAAAGAGUCUUUAAAAAGUCCGAGGGAGGCGUCCCAUCCGCCGCAGUUUUCUGGCGGCUGGAAGGAACCGCGCGAGAUUUAUUUAUUGCCCGGGGUGUCUAGGGAAGGUAACGACGAAGAGCUGGUCUCUUCGUCUGCUGAGGGGAGCGCGCACGGGCGCGCAAGGAGAGCGGAAAGUGAAAGUGGCCUCCCCCGCGGCGGAGCAGGAGGGAGAGCGCGCUGCAACGCUGCUACAUCGCCAAGGUGACGCGCGCCUCAAGGGGGACCUUUCUCUUCCCUUCUCUGGUUAGAGAGGGAGAAAAUAGAGAUGUUGCCUUGAGCAGCAGCCGCCACUGUCUUGAGAGGUGGCGGGGGGGCGGUGUUUGGGGAGGAAGAAACCUCUUCCCUCCGGCUCGCCUAAGCAGACGGGGCGUCCGCACGGCACGGGAAAGAUUUUCGGGACCGCGCCGGGACUUGCAGGCUGGCUGCUGCGCAAAAGAGCCGGUCAAAGCCCCGAGAGCCCGGCGGGGCGGGGGAAUCCCCUGGCCAGGAAGUGGGGGUGGAGGGGUGUGGAGUACAGCCAAAGAGGGCAUGCGGCGGCGUGUUGUUCGACAGCGGUUGUGGGGCCGGUCCCCCCCUUCAAAUCAAAAAAUAUUUUUUUUAGCCCUGUGCGGUGCCAGGCCUGGGGGGUGGGGACUGCCCCUGUAUCAGCCCUGUUGCCCACCCCCGGGGGUCUUUGUCGACCUCCGUUUUGAAUUCCGCGGAACCGCCCCCCCCCAGUCCUGUUCAAGCGCCGGCCAGGGUUAAGCAUGUGCGCAAGCCGCGCCUAUGGGCCGCGGCGGAUUCUAUAGCUCAAAAGUAUUUUGGGAUCCUAAAUCCUACUGGCCUCGGUGGUUUCCUAGGGCACUGAAGACUUUCCACGGGUCAGUGGUGCCCCAAACUCCAGGCCAACACUGCGCCCAAAGGGGGCUUUUGGAAGUCUCCCCACCUCCAGUCUCCUCUGGCCAAGUCGGCUCGCCUCUGAGGAGCCGGAACGAAGGUGGCGCUCGCUUCAGCUUCGGAGCCACACCCGAAUUCCUCCUUGGAGCUGAGCGGCUCCCAGCCUGGAGGAGAGGCAGGCACGACCUUGGCGCGGGGUUGCCGAGGUCAGAACCGGCGAGGCGGCCUCAGGGGUCCGCGCUUCUCCACCUGAUGUGAUCUGAUCCGAGAAUGGGCGCUGUGUUCGCCUGGAACGAGGCGUCUCGGCGAGCGGGGCCGCGUCCCGCCCCGUCUCUGCCAGGGGAUGCGCUGUCCAAAGAUACUCAGCGCAUCCGCCGCGCCCUGCGCCCAUCCUCCCCGCACCCCAGGCCGCUUUCCUCGGUUCAGAGCUAUCUUAUUUCAGCUCACAAUCACUGCUGACAUUCGGGCUUCCCUUUGAUCGAGGAAGGCUCAGGAAAGGCACCUGAGACGGAACUGCCAUAAUCCUGAGGCCAGAUCACAGAAGAUGGGCGUUUGUAGGAGAUGCGGAGGUUGCAAACCGAGAGUCUGAGCUUCCUGCAGACCUGCGCGCGCCCUCGCGCUUUUCAUUUAUUUGGUUUUUCCAGGAAAGGGAGGGGGGCUAUGCUUUCCAUACCAUGGAGUUCUAAUUGCUUUGUGUGGAGCCGGAACAGAUUUGUUCCCGGAAUUUCCACAAACGAUACCUAGCUCAUCAAAAAUCUAUUCCAAAUCCUGAGCACCCAACAUUUGCCAUAACUAGGUUCGUGGGUGCGCCUGACCCAAUUCAUUUUUCCAACACACACACACACACACACACACACACACACACACACACACGUCUAUUCACAGUGCAUAUAAAGAAAACAAUUAUUGGCAUUCUGCUGCCCUCAGCUUGACAAGUUGUCUGUCUCACUUCAAAGGACGGUUACCUAAUUGUUUCCAGAGGUUAAAAGUAAUUAAGCUACAUUAGAGAAACCUAAGUAACACAGAGAAGGGACUCCCCCUCCCUUUCACACUGGGACCUCUUUCUUGGACAUAGGCGGCUCUGUCUCUUUCUCGGUGUCCUUUUGAAAACGCGAAACUGCUGGAAUCUGCCAGUUCCACAACACAGUUGAAGGUCACUUGGCUAUAGCUGCAGAUUUAAUUUAAAACCGGGUUAUGGUGUCCGAUGCCUUGGUUGGAAAAAGCCACGGUAAUUGUGCAUAGUUAAUGCUGAGAGGACACAUAUCAGUCAUCAAAUAUUAAACUAUUUGUACAUAUGUAUCAUGGAAACUUCGAAAAGGGUCUUCUCCCUGCCCAAUAAUUCUCCAAGGCUAUGAGGGUGUAAAACUGCACAGUCCUCAGCAAUGGAGAAGUGCAUUUGAUUACUGUACUUCCAAUAAUUUGGAAUAUGCUUAGAAUGAAGAAUUGAGAAUUUCCAUCUUUUCUGCAUGUGUGUGUUUAUAUAGAAGCCAUCAUUUCGCCAGUAAUAUUUGCUUUCUUGAAGUUCUGAUUGCGAAAAUAGCAUACAUAGCAGUAACGGUAGUAUUCAUGUGCGUAGCCAGGAUUUUUGUUGGGGGGAGGAAGGACUUCGGGGGGGCAGGACUUUUGUUUGGGGGGCAGAACCGACGUGAUUGGUCAGUUAGUUAGGUGUUUCUAUUGUUUUACUUGAUGGGCCCCUUGGCUACACCCAUGGUAGUAUUGUUAGCAAUUACGAAGCAAUACACAAAUUACAUUACCUGCUUGCCGCGUUCAGAGAUGUUUCCCCACUUCUGAUAACUUUGGCAAAAGAGAGACAGCCGUGCUAUAUUUUUGUGCUAUAUUGAUAAGCAGUUGGAAAUGUUGAAAGAAAAUUGUUGAUAAAAAUGGCCAAAUGUCCCAAUUGAAAUUCUCGUGACUGACUCCCAUUUAAAACAAAACAAUAAGAGCAAUGUUUUACAGCAUAAUCUUAAUGGCUGUCUACUGUGAAGCAAAUCCCAAUAAAUUUAAUUAUAAUGUGGUAAAUGUGCUAAGAUUCUCCUAAGCACGCUUGCUUAGAAGCAAGCGCCAUUGAAAUAAGUAGGAAUUAUUGUCAAGUUUACAGGCUUAGGGUAGUAAGUAUGUGUAAAUGAGGAGUGUUUGAAAAUAAGGGGGGAAAUAAGAUAAAAAAUACUAUUAUCUGAAACUAUUUCCCCCCUUAUUUUCAAAAAAUUGACUCAAAGCAUUUUUCUAAAAUGCAACAUACAAUUCCAUGCUAGGAGAUCAUCUGCAAUUUUGUACAUGAGUAAAAACAAAAUUUAGGGCAGCACAAACCCUACUAUGAACUCGGUCUUUAAAGAGAAGCGAUCAGGAGAAAUGGUAACAAAAUGUUUGUGUGUGUGUGGUGGAAUUAGGGUUUAGUGUAACUGGUGUUCAUUGUUUUUGGUUUUUAAAAAAGUCUUGUGAAUGCUCUAACACCUCAACAUUUUAAAAAUCCAGUCCAAUCUCUCUCUCCCUCCCUCUUCUCUCGUGAACCCCAUCAAAAGAAAUAUGAUCCAAGUCAAGACACUUUGCUGCCUGAGGCGGACUGCCUAAAUAGUGCCCGCAAGGGUGGUAAAAUACGACAAUAAAUUAAUACUUGAUCGCCUGUUGCCAAAAUCUGCCUCUGGAGGCAGACCUUCUUACUUCCCAGAUUAUUCCUCAUUCUCUCCAUCCUUUGCAGACCCAUCUCCUGUGUUUGCUUUCAUCCAGGAGUAGUCAACAUGGUGCCCUUCAGAUGUUGUUGGACUCUAUUCCUAGCAGCGGAGACUCUUUCCCAGGUUCAGGGAGGCACAAAGGGGAUCUUCCAGUCGCCCUUGUUUCAGUGCAGCAAUGACCGGGGUCACUGUUCUAGAUGCACAUUCAGAGCUCAUUUCCAUUUGCAGUGACUGAUCAAUUUCUGCAGGAGCUGGGGACAAAUUGGGGGCGGGCAGCUAGAAAAGGGCGGUUCAAGUGACACAACUCCUUCUGCAAGUUCAGUGUGUUGGAAUGUAACCAGUGGUGGACUUAAGGUAAAGGACACCUGACAGUUAAGUCCAGUCGCGAACGACUCUGGGGUUGCGGCGCUCAUCUCGCUUUACUGGCCGAGGGAGCCGGCGUACAGCUUCCGGGUCAUGUGGCCAGCAUGACUAAGCCGCUUCUGGUCAACCAGAGCAGCGCACGGAAAUGCCGUUUACCUUCCCGCCGGAGCGGUAUCUAUUUAUCUACUUGCACUUUGAUGUGCUUUUGAACUGCUAGGUGGGCAAGAGCUGGGACCGAGCAAUGGGAGCUCACUCCGUCACGGGGAUUCAAACUGCUGAUCUUCUGAUCGGCAAGCCCUAGGCUCAGUGGUUUAGACCGCAGCGCCACCCAUGAACUUGGGGCUCUCAAAUUUCAGCAGUGCCCUGUGCGAUGCUAAAAUUUGCCGCCCCCAACUCUCUUGCUCCGUUCUUCAGCAUUGUUGUGGCACCCCCUGCAGUGUGGCACCCUGGGCACCCGUGUACCAGUCGUGCUACCCUAAAACCACCCCCUCUGGAACUCAGCUUGCACCGGAGGCUGAUUUGUUUGCAUGGGAAAGAGCCGGUAGAGAGAGGAAUCUCAUGUUUCCUCGACUGUCCUUCCUGACUUAACCUGUGAUGUAAGAGCAAGCACCACUUCUCCACCUUUGUUAGAUAAGGACGAUCCCUAGCUCCAGGAGGAAUGUAUUUCCUGUAAUAAAUUCAGCUUUCUUGUUUCUCUAAACUCAGAGUUGCAAUGCGAUUAUAUCCAGGGUAAAGCGUGCUCUUCCAACACGGAUUCAGUGUCAAGUUCAACUUCUGCUGAGCAUUUUAACUCCACAUGUCAACACAGGGCGAGUGCAGUUUGGCCUGGUCUUCUAGUGCCCCGUGGUCCUGCCCACGAUGCCUCUGAUUUAUGCACUUCCCUGUGUGGUCUGAGUCAGGGUCAACACCCUUUUCUCCGUUGUGGGUCCUGCAAGACUCUUGCGUUUAGGUUUCUCUGUCUCUUUGGGUGCAAAGGCAUAUACACCCAGCAGGCAUAGAAGCUGCGAUUGCUGCCUGCCAAUGUUCUGGCCAGGAUCUUGUUUCCUGAAAACCUUUACAGAUCUUGCUGCCUGGUCGAAGGAUGAGCUUGUUGCACUUUGCACUGCACUGGUUCCUCUAUAAACUACAGCAGGGCCUUCUGCUGCUUAAAAAACAACAACAACAAAAAACCAAAGACAAAAACUUGUGCUGUAACCUAUGGCUUUGCUUUAUAUGUAAUAGGAACCAGUUGCUUCCUUCCCCUCCUUAAACAGACACCAUUCUAUUCCUGCUGUUGUUGCACUGCAAAACUCAACUCUGUUAGUAAGUCCUCUGCCAGCCGCAUCUCAGCUGAGGGGAGAUGACAGGAUACAGGAAAACCCCACCAAUAGCUGGUGAGUUAGGCUAUCUUUUUAACAACAUGUCUGAACAGGGCUCUCCUUUGGUCGCUGAAGUUGUGUUGAAAAGGCUGGUGUUCAAGUGAGUCAGCCAAAUUAGUGCUCCAAACCGCAGCGUGAAGGCUGUUUGGAGAGUGAAUCAUGGCUAAGCUGUGUGCACUUGAAUUAAUGAUGCUAACAUUGUGCAUGUGGCUCUCUCUCUAGAGAGUGAGUUUUGGCAAUGGUGGUGCAGGGAGAGAGAGAGAGAGGGAGAGAGAGGCAAAAUACUUAUGACCCCAACAGAUUUUUGAAUGCCUUUGUGAUAGCGCAACUGCAUUGGAACCAUGAGCUUAUGAAUCAGGAGUGUUGGUGAAAGUCUUGCAAAACUGCCUUUCUCUGGCUUAAGCAAAACCAUGCGGCACCCAGUGCUGUACUUGCUGCUUCGUGUGAUUUUGGGGUGAGAGGUUGAAGGUUUGGCACAAUUUGCAAGAUGGAAGUUUGGUACUAUUUAAUAAUAUUGCAAAUUCUGCCAUGGGUUUCCAUGGUGCUGGGAUUUUAUUAUAGAGAGUUUCUAGACUGUUUGAUUGUAUCAGCACAGAAGAACACUGGGGUAGAGACUGGGAUUCCCUACCAUCACACACACAAUGGCAUUCAUUUAAGUUGUUUCAGGUGUUCCAAAAUAUAUGGGUAUAUGAGGCAGAAAUUGCUCCUGUCUACGUAUCUCUCCAGCUUCUACACCUGCUCCUUCCUUCCUUCCUUUUGACAUAUUGUAGGGUUAUGUAGGGAUAACUCACUAUCCCAGGGAUACAAGGGCAGCGUUUAGUCCAGGCAUCCCCAAACUUGGCCCUCCAGCUGUUUUGGGACUACAAUUCCCAUCAUCCCUGACCACUGGUCUUGCUAGCUAGGGAUGAUGGGAGUUGUAGUCCCAAAACAGCUGGAGGGCCAAGUCUGGGGUUUAGUCCUUUGGUUUAGUCCUUUCAAUAAUCUGUAAGGGGAAUCAUGCCUUGUUUUGUCACACUCACAGAGCAAAGCAGAGAGCAAAUUCAUGCUACACAAAUGUGCAAGGCUCUUAGCUGAUUGAUUUGUUCUCUGCUUUUGCACCUACCGUUCCAAAGUGGCUGCAACCAAAUCAGUGAUGGCUGGUGUGCAUUGGGACUGGUGGAGUGGAGGGCCUGGAGCCCAGUCGUAGGAGGAGCUGGAGGCAAUGACAGGGAGAGUCACCCCUCCCCAUAGGUUGUAUGGAAGAAGGCCAGAAGGUGGGGGCUGGCCAAGGUUGGGGGAUCCAUUUGCCCUGAUGCACUAGCCUCCAGUGAACCAAGCAACCACUGUCAAAUUGAAAUCCCCUGCUGGAUUGAAAAUAUGUAUUUCUGCCUACAAGAAUCCCUUGCAAGGCAAGCAACAGAUCCAUCCCUUUUCCUUGCUCCUCACUAUGCCUGAAGGCGCAUCCGGUGUCCCCUCUCCCCCACCCAACAGCCCGCAGACAGACAUUCCUGCCCACAGGCAUGCAAUACAAGAUGGGCAGCUUUUCCAAGAGAGGGGAAAUAGAGAAACUGGAAGGUUACAAAGAAAUUAAGGCAGGGGAAAUGCUUGGGGAGCAACAGCAAUGAAAUGGAAGGGGUAAGCAGAGCAGGAAUUCAGCUGCAAACAAAUGAAUUAAGAGAUACGAUUUAAGGUGCUUUUUAAAAAGCAAAUGCAAAUGCCAAAGAGAAACACAGUGAUACAUAAGCAUGAGUAACUGUGUUUGAUCAUGUUCAUUCUCUGUAGCUUUGUUAGGGAAGAUCUACACCAUAUACCGUAUUUUUCGCUCUAUAAGACGCACCAGACCACAAGACGCACCUAGUUUUUGGAAGAGGGAAACAAGAAAAAAAAUAUUCUGAAUCCCAGAAGCCAGAACAGCAAGAGGGAUCACUGCACAGUGAACCCUCUUGCUGUUCUGGCUUCUGGGAUAGCUACGCAGCCUGCAUUCGCUCCAUAAGAUGCACAAACAUUUCCCCUUACUUUUUAGGAGGGAAAAAGUGAGUCUUAUAGAGCAAAAAAUACGGUAUUUAAAGCACAUGAUUCAAAGAAUCAUGGUUUCUCACUGUAAGCUCUGCAAUUUCCAAAACACAGGUCCAAGGAUCCUUGGGGGGAAGUCAUGUGCUUUCAGUGUACGUGUAUGCCCCCUAUUGCCCUGCUCUCAAAUCACAUCUAUACCAUGUAUUUAAGGCAUACAGCUCCCCCAAAGAAUCCUAGGAACUGUAGUUUGUUAAGGGUGCUGGGAAUUAUAGAUCUUUGAGGAGUAAACUAGAAAUCCUAGGAUUUUUUGAGGGAAGCAGGGCUGGGCCUGCCCACGAGGCAGAGGGAAGCAGCCACCUUGGGUAGCAGAAUCCCCUGGCACAGCACCAUCGUGGGUGCCAAGCUCACCCCUGUUGUUGCUGCUGCCAGGAUUGGGCAGCUGCAGCGACAGCUUCUGGCGAGAUCUUGUGAGAUCUCCCAAAACUAUUGCAAGAUCUUAUGGAACUCAUAUGGGAUGCGGGUGGCGCUGUGGGUUAAGCCACAGAGCCUAGGACUUGCCGAUCAGAAGGUCAGCGGUUUGAAUCCCCAUGACGGGGUGAGCUCCUGUUGUUCGGUCCCAGCUCCUGCCAACCUAGCAGUUCGAAAGCACGUCAAAGUGCAGGUAGAUAGAUAGGUACCACUCUGGCGGGAAGGUAAAUGGUGUUUCCAUGCGCUGCUCUGGUUCGCCAGAAGCGGCUUAGUCAUGUUGGCCCCAUGGCCUGGGAAAACUGUCUGCGGACAAACGCCGGCUCCCUCGGCCAGUAAAGCAAGAUGAAUGCUGCAACCCCAGAGUCCUCUGCGACUGGACUUAAUGGUCAGGGGUCCCUUUAUCUUUACCUUUAAAGAAAGGUGGGGGACGUGGGUGGCUCUGUGGUCUAAAUCACUGAGCCUCUUGGGUUUGCCGAUCAGAAGGUUUGUGGUUCAAAUCCCCACGACGGGUUGAGCUCCCGUUGCUUGGUCCCAGCUCCUGCCAACCUAGCAGUUUGAAAGCACAUCAAAGUGAAGUAGAUAAAUAGGUACCACUCUGGCGGGAAGGUAAACAGCGUUUCCGUGCACUGCUCUGGUUCACCAGAAGCGGCUUAGUCGUGCUGGCCACAUGACCUGUCAGCAGACAAAUGCUGGCUCCCUUGGCCAGUAAAGCAAGAUGAGUGCUGCAACCCCAGAGUCGGCCGCGACUGGACUUAAUGGUCAGGGGUCCCUCUACCUUUUUAUGGAAUUCUCACUUGAUCUCAUUAGAAGCUGCUGCAGCCACACAACCCCAGUAAAUAAGGCUUUGGCAGUGGGUUGUGGGGAAAAGUGUCUCCAUCACGUUUCACCCCAGGUGGUAAAAUGGGAUGGGCGACCCCUGGGGUGUGGAAUUUUUUUUUUAGCCAAGGACUCUCUUUUCCCUCUCCUUAAGUUGCUUCCCCUCCCUUUGGUUCCUUUCUUUGUUUAUUUUACUCUGUUAGUUUAUGCUGCUCUGUACAGCACCAUUCGGGCAGAAUGAAUAACCACCACCACCAAUACCCAUGAUUGCCAGGUCAAGAAAGAACGUGUGUAUCUGCUCACACCCUGCUUGUAGACAAGGUAUUUGAAGGACAAUUUGAAUCAUGUCAAACAGGCUCCUGCUCCACUUAAGCUGGUCCCCUGAGGUUUUCAGAGGAGAUGUUGCAGGUCAGCUGAAUGUUAAAUCUAUUUCAAGACUUUACUGAUCAGCUAACAUGAUAGAUAUGCCUUAAUUCAUUAUAAGAGGCAACUAUGUUUUCAGUUUGUUUCUUUGCAAUGAAGAGGGCUAGAAAGGUAUGAAAGAGGGAGAGAAAAGUAUCCUUCAUGGUUUGGGACAGGCAUGUCUGAAGUCCAUUUCAGGGGCCUAAUCUGGCCCGCUAGUCGGUUUAAUCUGUCCCUUGUGGCAGUUUCCAAGUUCAUUUCCUGGGGUAAAAUCCUAAAAAAACCCUCAACAACUUCAAUCCUAAAAAAAUGGUCAACAACUUUGGUUGGCCCUCUGCUCAGCCCUCACGACCCUUCACAUCAUCAAAUCUGGCCCUCUUUGGAAAAAGUUUGGACACCACUAUUGGGAGAAUUCAGGUUGAUGCCCUUUUGGAAUAAAUGUCCACUGCAUACCUUUUGACCUCUUGGUUUGCCCUAGGGUCUGAUAACUUGCCAUGUAAGGAUCUUCUCUCCUUAUUUUCUCCACCAUGAAAAGACCCACCCUUUAACCAUGGAAAUCUGAAUGACCUUCCCAGUUCCCCUGAAUAUUUGGUAUUCCUGAACAAUAGAAGAUGGCGUUUUGCUACCAUGAUUGAGUUAUUUGGUGGGAGAGAGAGGGAGAGAGAUAGAGAACGAACGCACCUGACUGUCUCCUGGCUUCUAGCAUUUAUUUAAUUUCAUUUCAAAGACCAUUGUAUCCAAACGUAAGAUCCCUCCCUUUGCUAAACUCCACUACUAAAAGCAAAGCAAAAUGCCACACAAAAAGAGGAGGAAAAAGGGACAGAGUUUGACAUCCACGGUCAAGAACAAUGAACUUGCUUGUACGUCACUGCUUUGCCCUGCUUCUCCUUUCAGAGUGAUAACAGUCCCACUGACAGAGAAUGACAGAUUUGAUAAAACAUGGUUAUAAAACUUCAUCACAUGCUGGUAAUUUUCCCACCAAUGUGCUUUGCAGCACACACGCUGGUGCAAAAGAGCGUGUCAAGGUUGUGUUCCAUAAUCAUAUCUGCGAUUGGUAACAGAAUAGGAAGGCCAAAGAGAUAAAAAUUUGAAGCCUUGGUUAUUUAUUCACCUUUGAAAGUUAAUGAAUUAAUCAGUGUACUGAAGGCUUUUCUGAUGACCCAGAGGAGAAUCUAAUUCUUAUAUGAAGUACAGCACUUACCGCAUAAAACUGUGUGCGUCUACAUACCUCUGACACAGAGAUGACGUAAGUCCCAGGCGCUACAUACCUCACACAGAGAUGACGUAAGUCCCAGGCGCUGUCGGGUGUUCCUGCCCUGACUAUUCUUUUGACUCCUUAAUUGAUGAGCUUGUCCACUGUCUCCCAACUCUUUGCUUUUAAUUCCUCUGUGGACUCUGACCCUGGAUUUAUGCAAAAAAAAUCCCAACAGGAUUAUCGGAAUAGGAGCACAAUAUCAGAUCCCUGGCUUAGUUUAGUGGGUCUCAAUGUCUUGCCCCUGGAAAUGGCCAGGACUGAAUACUUCAAAGAGAAAGAGCAAGUAACUCUAUAAUGGAUGAUUAUAGGAACAUAGAAGUAUCUUUCAGACUCUCAUUAGCUAGUAGUUAGCUUUUGCCCUGAAGCACAAAGGUUUACACAUCUCCUGUAAAAGAUUUUUCCUUGUGUUACAUCCUCAUUGCCCAUAUAAAUGCCUAUAAUCCCUUCUGGGGGGUGGGAAUCUACCAAGCUUCCUGACUUCACAAAAAUGAAAUGGUACUAUGAUUUUGAAAGAGGAAUAAGCAGUUUCUUAUAAAUAAAGUUACCAGGUAAUGACUAACCGAGCUGUUAAAUUCAGCUGAUACAUAACGAACACAAAUAAUUCCAUUGAGACGUUACAAUUCGGCAAAGCCUCUCUGCUUAUUGCUGUUAUAAGAACAGCGAGACUGUUGGCUCUUUGCAAAACAUUGACAAAUUAAUCCUCACACCACCCCAAAGAGUAAGAUUAAGCCACAAUAUAAACCCUAUUGUACAAUUGGUAGAAAGGGGACAUGGAUAGGAGGGAUGGGGUGGUUCUCAGGAAAGCUUGACCUGCAGGGUGUGUGGAACAAAUCUCCAUCUCCUCCAGGGCUGGCCCACCCAUGAGGCAAGCUGAGGGCGCAUCCUGCCCUCCAAGGAAUGCAUGGCCCACUGCUGCUGCCAUGUGAAACACAUAUGAUGUACUGUAUGUGAAACACAUGUGAUGUAAGUAUUUUCAGUAUCUACCUCAACCCUUCCCUUCAUCCUCUCCUUCCCCUCCUCAUUUUUCGCUAACGUUAAACACCUGUUGAGCAAUUAGUAAGGAAAGAGUGUAUUUAUAUCCAGAUCCAAACAGGGUAACCUUGCUAAGCAAAUCAGCCUCUUAAGCUUAAGCCAAGAAAUAGUAUUCUCUAUAAAAUGUAAGUAUAUUUGUAUAAAUUUUUGUAGUAAGUCUGAUUUCACGUAUAAUGGAUAUGUAUUUUUUAUUUAAUUGAAUAUUUAGAAGUGCAUUAAGUUGUUUCUAAUAAGAUUUGGUUUGAAUUAUUAUUAGUGAAUAUCAAUAUACGUAUCAAGGCUUUGAGAUUAGACCACUGAAGAAGCCCGGAAAACUACCUUGGGAGUGUGCUACCUGCAAGCCCCAGUAGAAAGGCCCCAUCAGGGGCAAACAGCGACCUCUUGAUUUCUUGGACUGCUGGGAAAAGAUUUAUAAUGAAUUGAAAAAAAUGUUGAAAUAUACAUUUAUAAAGAAACCAGAGGCCUUUCUUCUUGGAAUAACAGGUUUGGAAUUGCCCAAGAAAGAUGUUAAAUUAUUUUUGUAUGCCACAACUGCUGCUCGUAUUUUGUUAGCUAAAAAGUGGAAAACCCAAGAAUUACCAACAAUAGAAGAAUGGCAGAUGAAGGUGAUGGAUUUUUCAGAGCUGGCCGACCUAACCGGAAGAGUCCGUGACCAGAAGGAGGAGGAAUAUCAGGAAGAAUGGAAUAAAGUUAAUGAUUAUUUAGUUAAAUUUGUUAAAUUAAAUUAACCGGAAAUAGCUUGCAGAUACUUAAUAAGCUUAGGGUUUUAUUUAUGUUAAGUGAUGAAUUAACAUGUUUAAUUAUAUAAGGUGAAGAUUUAAGGAUGUUAAUGUUUAAGUUAAAUUUUAUAAAAAUUGGGAUUUGGAAAACCAUUAAAAGGACAUGCAAUGAAAUUCAACCAAGGGGAAACGAGGAAGUCACUUAACAAAGUUAGUAACUGUAAUUUUCAAUAAGGCUAUGAUUUAUGUUUGUUAUGUUUGUCUUGUUUGUUUGUUUGUUUGCUUAUAAUAUUGUGAAAACCAAUAAAAAAUUUUUGGG